rnacentral:ncRNA from 1 species
AUUUAUCUUCAGGGCGAGGUGCAAUUCCUCACCGGUGGUAAAUUGCAUCUUGCAAAAGCCCACGAGCGAUUUUUUAAAUUGCAGAUUUGGUGUAAAUCCAAAGCCGACGGUAUAGUCCGGAUGAAAGAAGACAUUU